CUCCAUCAUGACGCCAUUUUUCAUUAUCCUUUGCGAGUUGAACAUAGCAGCUGGACCAACAUCGUUGAUGAUUUCAUCACAGCGGUUGAAAUACUACCAUUUUUAAUUGUUUAAUUGCUGGACUAUUUAUUUUUUGAGGUAAAACCACGUAGAACCGCAUUGACCGGAAUGUUUGAAUUGAUUAUGUUAAUGGAAAUGGCUUAUGCUAAGGGACGUUGUAUGUCUCAUGAGCCUAGAUCAAACUUUAGCCAUCUCCAGCAUUGUUUCGUCGAGUUUUUCAAAAAAUCGAUAGAGGAUUUAGCUGCUUUACCGACGGCGUUCGGCCCCGAAAGCCCCGAACACAAUACAGCAGAAUUAUUGCCGUUCUGAUGCGGCGGGAUUAACCUUAUAUCUUCUUUUCCCUGCCACGUAUAUUGCGGAUCCCGAGGCGGAUCCGGUACAUUUUGUUUGGAUAUUUUUUUAGAUGAAUAGUGUGCGUUAUUUGUAACAUAUUUCGUAGGACGUGAACAUGACAGUUUUGUAAAGAU